CAGCCCCACCCCAUGACUUCCAGAGAGAGAGGAAAGGCUGAAGGUUGAGUUGAUUACCAGUAGCUCACGAUAUAAUCAUUCAUGCCUACAUAACGCAGCUUUCAUAAGAACCCAAUAGGACAGGGUUCAAGGAGCCUCUAGAGAAUGCCACACCUAUAGAGGCAUGGAAGCUCUUUGCCACUUUCAUCUGACUAUUGAUCUAUAUCCUUCGUAAUGCCCUUAAUAAGAAAUGGGCAGAUUCUAGCAGUGUUUGUGAGAAAAACUGGUGGAUCCUGCAGAUUAACUAUGGACAGCCAAAUAUUGAGUAAAGUGAUGUCUACAACAGCAUCAGCUAUGCCUGAUAUGGUGUUAAUUCACAUUGUGAAGGUUGGUACGUACCCAAUUGUGACUAAACCAAAAGAAAAAAAUCUGGAAACUGAAGUACCAAUACAUGAAAAGCGUUCUUUUGGUAUUGGGAGUGCCAGUUGUCUUUGUUUCAUGAACUACUUCUCCGUAAUAGCACGCAGCCAUCUUCAAGAGGUGAGAAUUUCACUUAGCGGCUUGAACAGAAGUGUUAUCUCAAGAUAAUAUAAUAUCUGGAGGCAUGUGGCUGCUACUGUUUGCUAUGUCAUUUCUAUAUUGCCUGACCUAAAGGAAAAGAAAAAAAGGGCCAAUGUCUUCAUUACAAGAUAGACUCCUGAGAAUGCUUAUUCCAGCAAAGAAGAAGAUCUUCCGAAAAAACAAGAUUAUAAGUCACAGUCUGUAAGAAAAGAAAAAGUAAAACAAGAUAGACUCCUGAGAACACUAAUUCCAGCAAAGAAGAAGAAGAUCUUCCUAAAAAACAAGGAUUACUCAAAGUUAUUGAGAAGAAAUACAGGUUCUGGUGGACAAUUUCCAGUCUGGUAUCUGCAUUUGGAGAGAUUCUACAGCACAUGCAUGAAUGAGAAAGAGGGUGAAGGUGAAAAGAAGACCUAAGUGUUACCUUGAUGGAUGCUGCUCUGCAUGGAAGAAAACAUUAGGACUGGUAAAGAGGCUCUCCUC
rnacentral:lncRNA from 1 species